GCGGGCGUGGUGGAACUGGUAGACACACCAGAUUUAGGUUCUGGCGGCUUCGGUCAUGGGGGUUCAAGUCCCUCCGCCCGCACCA
rnacentral:tRNA from 1 species